rnacentral:tRNA from 1 species
GUUUUUAUAGUUUAAAAAAAAACAUUGGUCUUGUAAAUCAAAAUUAAGUCUAUUUACUUUAAAAACU